rnacentral:lncRNA from 1 species
AAGGCGGAGCCUGAUUGGUGGAAAACGUAGGGUGGGCGCCCUAGGGGGCAGGGCGGGUGCCCUACCCCCGGGCCCGCUCGGCCUCCUGUUCGUUCCUGUGGCUUCUGGACUCUUCUAGGUGAUAGAAAAUUGCGCACACAUUAAUAUCUCUAUGUAAACCCGACAUGUGGGCCUUUCCUCCAUGUUUCCAGAUAACCGCCUGUAGAAAUAGACAAACACCAAAACUCGUGGAAUUCUGUCAGAUAAAACCCUAAGUCUGGGUGUUGGUUGCAUUUGGAUCCUUUUCUUUGUUUAUUUGAUAAUUAAAUUUGAUACUUAAGGACCGUCACCAACUCCCCCAAGCUUACCUCUUGCUCGUCCCUGAGCAAGGAUGGACUCUAGAGUUUCUACAGUGGUUUCAUGCCUUAAAGGUACACAUGCGUUCGAACAAGAUCUCAUCUCUGGGUUAGGAUAAACUGUUAAGAUUUAAACUUACUCAUAUUACCUUUCACCAUGGGACUUGCAACUGUCACUUAUGUCUUGAGCAGUUAAAAGAUAGAAUGGUCAAAGCAAGCGCCAUGUCUCUUGUUCUUUGAUCAACUAUAGCUCUAGAGUUUUUGUAGAUUUUCAAAAUAAAACUUAGAGAUUCCUUGUAUGACUCUCUCAAUUCUCUCUUUUGUGGUAUUUCUGGAUCCUUACCAAGGCAGUGAUGGUAUAUGCCUUCUCUCAAAGUAUGUAGUAUUUGUGGUAUGAGGCAUAGUGACAUUGCCUUCUCUCUCACCCUACUCUAAUAAGGUUUUGAUAUCUGGAGCUCAUAGUUGGGAGACAGCUAAUACAUACUUACAAGACAUUUAUUAUAUAGUCAAACCAUGGAUCUAGAAGAACAAGUCAAUAAGUCAAAUCAAGAUGUGCAUGUGUGGCGAAUGAAUGGUGAUAAUGGUGAAAAUAAUGGUGAAAGUCUAAUUCUACUUUUGCUCUUUUGAGGGGGUACAUACCUUCCUUUCACUUGAGGUUUUUGAGGAGAAUGAGAUGCUCUAUAUUUUUUUCUUUUCUCUCAGGUGGGUAUCUUGUAGCCCUAAUUCUACUAUCGGAAACUUGUCCAUUUUUUACCUCUCGUCUCACUUUUCCUUUUCUUCGAGGUUCCGGGCACUUGCCCCUUUUUAUUUCAUCGUAUUUUUAUUUUUUUUCAGAGCACUCAUCCUCCUAGAAUAAUAUAGCAAGUGGUAGUAACCAAGAUAACUCAAGCAUUUAUUUCACAGGGAAUAACAGGGUUAGGAAAAAGUUUUUGGCUAUUCUCUCCUAGAUAGGAGUAGAAUAAUUUUAGGUAAAUCUGGAGAUAGAAUUGAGUGGAUGUAUGUGGAUGCGUAAUUUCAGAGUAGAAGUAGCAUGUAUGAGUGAACGUGCAAGUGAAUCUUGACUUUAACCGCAUGACAAGCUCCUAAGGGUCUACACAGCUUGACGACACCCAAAGCUCAUAAGCAGUAAAAAGUAAAUGUAUGGUUCAUAGUCUAAUAAGCAUGUAUAUAUGGCUGUGGUAGGAUUUUAAACUCUCAUCAUACAGGAACUCAUCAUGCAACAUUUUAAAGAUUUUCAAAGAUAAAACUCUCCAGAAUUCUAGCAUCUCUAGGAAUAAGAUAAACAACAGCUCAACCUUCCCAUAUCAUAUCCAUUAAUGACUUUGACUUUAGAUCAAGUACUCUUCCCAGAAGUUUAGGUUUAGAGCAAAUCUUAAUUCAUGACAGUCAUGCCUAAACUUGAGAGAGAUUUCAAUUUUGCGAACUAGUCAUGGCAGAGCAACUAUUCAUCAUUUCCAUGUGAGAGCUUAUCAUGAGGGUUCAAAGCAAACUUUAUAUAUUUAUUUAUUUAUUUAGCAAACUAAGUGUUGGGUAUUUUAAACGCAAACAGAAAAAUCCGCAAGCGCACGGAUAUCGAUGUAGAUUUCACCCGGGAGUAUUCCAGAGUAUCGAUUUUCCGCAGGGAACGUGAGUGUACUAAAUAAGAUCCAAGAUCACCCAAGGAUAACUAUAUAAUUAUUUUUUGUGGGAAGAGAGGAAGUUUCCUGAGAGUUCUCUAGUUGAUCUAAGAAUCAAGAAUUACUUCAAAGACUAUUUAUUUCGGGACAUCAGAACACUACCCACAGAAAGAGAUGAGAAGGGGGCUAGGAAGCUUUGACUGCGGUCCUACAAACAACGAUCCGAACGAGGUGGAAUACGUCGACCGUUAGGGCUGUCACUACCCUAGGGCUACCACAACAAUCCACAGGAUUGGGUGCAAUUCCAGGUAAUUGCAAGACUAAACACCACGUCUAAUCUAUUAAUUACUACUCUAGCGUUAUAAAGCCUAGAGCACUUGAUGCAAGCGGGAAUACAAUAAAUAACUUGAAUGUAAAUAAAAGUAAUUAAAGAACUCAGGAAUUAUGAAUUGAAGAACUUGGAGAAUGAUGAAGAACGAACCAUUUGCUGCAAAAGCACAAUGUUGAGGAAGAUCCAACAGAUCCGGCUCCUCCGCUCUCCUCUCCUCUUCUCUGUCCCUAUUUUCUAGAUUACAACUAGAACUAACUAGAACUAGAACUAGAGGAACUAGAACUUGAACAAGAUGAACUAGAGGGAUCCUCUCUACUUGGAUGAAGAAUUGAAACCCUAACUUUGAUUCUAUAGAAUAGGUAUGCUCUUUAGGGGCCAGGGGGCCUUGCUUAUAUAGUCAUUUCAGAUGAAUCUAGGCCGUCGGAU